rnacentral:lncRNA from 1 species
UCAGUCAGUCUAUCAGUCAGUCAGUCUAUCAGUCAGUGUGUCAGUCAGUCAGUCUAUCAGUCAGUCAGUCAGUCAGUGUGUCAGUCAGUCUAGUCAGUCUAUCAGUCAGUCAGUCAGUCAGUAUAUCAGUCAGUCUAUCAGUCAGUCAGUCUAUCAGUCAGUCAGUCAGUAUAUCAGUCAGUGUGUCAGUCAGUCAGUCAGUCUAUCAGUCAGUGUGUCAGUCUAUCAGUCAGUCAGUGUGUAAGUCAGUCAGUGUGUCAGUCAGUCAGUAUAUCAGUCAGUCAGUAUAUCAGUCAGUCAGUGUGUCAGUCAGUCAGUAUAUCAGUCAGUCUAUCAGUCAGUCAGUGUGUCAGUCAGUCAGUGUGUCAGUCAGUCUAUCAGUCAGUCAGUGUGUCAAUCAGUCAGUAUAUCAGUCAGUGUGUCAGUCAGUGUGUCAGUCAGUCAGUAUAUCAGUCAGUCAGUGUGUCAGUCAGUCAGUGUGUCAGUCAGUCAGUCAGUGUGUCAGUCAGUCAGUCAGUCUAUCAGUCAGUGUGUCAGUCAGUCAGUCAGUCAGUCUAUCAGUCAGUGUGUCAGUCAGUCU